CCUACGGGCGGCUGCAGUGGGGAAUAUUGGACAAUGGGGGCAACCCUGAUCCAGCCAUGCCGCGUGUGUGAAGAAGGCCCUCGGGUUGUAAAGCACUUUCAGUGAGGAAGAACGCCUGGUGGUUAAUACCCAUCAGGAAAGACAUCACUCACAGAAGAAGCACCGGCUAACUCCGUGCCAGCAGCCGCGGUAAUACGGAGGGUGCGAGCGUUAAUCGGAAUUACUGGGCGUAAAGCGCGCGUAGGUGGCUUGAUAAGCCGGUUGUGAAAGCCCCGGGCUCAACCUGGGAACGGCAUCCGGAACUGUCAAGCUAGAGUGCAGGAGAGGAAGGUAGAAUUCCCGGUGUAGCGGUGAAAUGCGUAGAGAUCGGGAGGAAUACCAGUGGCGAAGGCGGCCUUCUGGACUGACACUGACACUGAGGUGCGAAAGCGUGGGUAGCAAACAGGAUUAGGUACCCCAGUAGUC
rnacentral:rRNA from 1 species